rnacentral:rRNA from 1 species
UACGUAGGGGGCAAGCGUUGUCCGGAAUCAUUGGGCGUAAAGAGCGUGUAGGCGGCCCGGUAAGUCCGCUGUAAAAGUCAAAGGCUCAACCUUUGAAUGUCAGUGGAUACUGCCGGGCUAGAGUCCGGAAGAGGCGAGUGGAAUUCCUGGUGUAGCGGUGGAAUGCGCAGAUAUCAGGAGGAACACCAAUAGCGAAGGCAGCUCGCUGGGACGGUACUGACGCUAAGGCGCGAAAGCGUGGGGAGCGAACAGG